rfam:Triticum urartu cultivar G1812 contig885367, whole genome shotgun sequence.
CAUGUACUUCCUCCGUUCCGAAUUAUUCGUCAUAGAAGUAGAUGUAUCUAGAUGUAUUUUAGUUUUAGAUACAUCCAUUUUUACGACGAGUAAUUUGAAACGGAGGGAGUAUGUA